rnacentral:miRNA from 1 species
UAUGUGAUGGUGAAUUUUGAUGGUGAACUUGAUUGCAUUAAGAAACAGACAAGGAGGGCUGGAGAGAUGGCUCAGCCGUUAAAGGCUAGGCUCACAACCAAAAAUAUA